rnacentral:rRNA from 1 species
UACGAAGGGGGCAAGCGUUGUUCGGAAUUACUGGGCGUAAAGGGCGCGUAGGCGGUGCACUAAGUCAGGCGUGAAAGCCCUGGGCUCAACCCGGGAAUUGCGCUUGAUACUGGUGCGCUUGAAUCCAGGAGAGGUUGGUGGAAUUCCGGGUGUAGUGGUGAAAUGCGUAGAGAUCCGGAGGAACACCAGUGGCGAAGGCGACACGCUGGGCCGUACCUGACACUGAACCGCGACAGCAUGGGGAGCAAACAGG